rnacentral:tRNA from 1 species
UGUUAUGUGGAUUAGUUGGUUAAAACGCUGGACUAUACGGGAUACUGGAGUCGUGGGUUUGAAGCCCACCAAAACAA